UGAGGAUGUCUGGUCGUACAGGAGAACACAGGGGCGACUCCCCACUCUCAAAAACCUAGAAAUCAUUAAAACUCUCAAAUUGAAGGUUCAAUCAAAGCUGAAAUCGAAAUCCAAACAUAGAUUACUGAUCCUCAUCACAAGGGGAUUACAAGGAAAGGAAGCCGGAGCUACGAGCAGACAAGCCGGUGUAAACGCACGACUAAAAGGUGUGCUUUGAAGGUGAGGAUGUGGAUCUUACGGAUGGCGGUCAAGCAAGUUUUGAAGAACCGAACACAGUUUAGAAGCUUCCGCGAUAUCUAACUUUAAUAAGCAAUGAUCUUAGCAUAUAACAUUUUGAAAAACAAUUUGUGAAUGUUUGAAUUAGUCGUUAGUAGACUAAUGUUUUGCUAUUUAUGAACUUAUGUUAUAAGUUGGACAUCUUUUAUAUAAAACUUGUACGAAUUUUAUUAAAUUCAAGUAGUAAUUAGAAGGGUGUUACAUUUUA